GAUGAACGCUGGCGGCGUGCUUAACACAUGCAAGUCGAACGGAAAGGCUCCUGCUUGCAGGGGUACUCGAGUGGCGAACGGGUGAGUAACACGUGGGUGAUCUGCCCUGCACUUCGGGAUAAGCCUGGGAAACUGGGUCUAAUACCGGAUAGGACGAUGGUUUGGAUGCCAUUGUGGAAAGUUUUUCGGUGUGGGAUGAGCUCGCGGCCUAUCAGCUUGUUGGUGGGGUAAUGGCCUACCAAGGCGUCGACGGGUAGCCGGCCUGAGAGGGUGUACGGCCACAUUGGGACUGAGAUACGGCCCAGACUCCUACGGGAGGUAGCAGUGGGGAAUAUUGCACAAUGGGCGCAAGCCUGAUGCAGCGACGCCGCGUGGGGGAUGACGGCCUUCGGGUUGUAAACUCCUUUCGCUAGGGACGAAGCGCAAGUGACGGUACCUGGAGAAGAAGCACCGGCUAACUACGUG
rnacentral:rRNA from 1 species